GUGGGGAAUAUUGGACAAUGGGCGAAAGCCUGAUCCAGCCAUGCCGCGUGUGUGAAGAAGGUCUUCGGAUUGUAAACCACUUUAAGUUGGGAGGAAGGGCAGUAAGUUAAUACCUUGCUGUUUUGACGUUACCGACAGAAUAAGCACCGGCUAACUUCGUGCCAGCAGCCGCGGUAAUACGAAGGGUGCAAGCGUUAAUCGGAAUUACUGUGCGUAACGCGCGCGGAGGUGGUUUUGUAAGUUGGAGGUGAAAUCCCCGGGCUCAACCUGGGAACUGCCUCCAAAACUGCAUGACUAGAGUACGGUAGAGGGUAGUGGAAUUUCCUGUGUAGCGGUGAAAUGCGUAGAUAUAGGAAGGAACACCAGUGGCGAAGGCGACUACCUGGACUGAUACUGACACUGAGGUGCGAAAGCGUGGGGAGCAAACAGGAUUAGAUACCCGAGUAGUCC
rnacentral:rRNA from 1 species